rnacentral:rRNA from 1 species
CUACGGGAGGCAGCAGUGAGGAAUUUUGGACAAUGGGCGCAAGCCUGAUCCAGCAAUGCCGCGUGCAGGAUGAAGGCCUUCGGGUUGUAAACUGCUUUUGUACGGAACGAAACGGUCCUUUCUAAUAAAGAGGGCUAAUGACGGUACCGUAAGAAUAAGCACCGGCUAACUACGUGCCAGCAGCCGCGGUAAUACGUAGGGUGCGAGCGUUAAUCGGAAUUACUGGGCGUAAAGCGUGCGCAGGCGGUGAUGUAAGACAGAUGUGAAAUCCCCGGGCUCAACCUGGGACCUGCAUUUGUGACUGCAUUGCUAGAGUACGGUAGAGGGGGAUGGAAUUCCGCGUGUAGCAGUGAAAUGCGUAGAUAUGCGGAGGAACACCGAUGGCGAAGGCAAUCCCCUGGACCUGUACUGACGCUCAUGCACGAAAGCGUGGGGAGCAAACAGGAUUAGAAACCCCUGUAGUCCC